rnacentral:lncRNA from 1 species
AUUCUGAGCAAUCAUUUUAAAGAGUCACUCUGCGAAGAGUUUGUUGGGUAACUGGCGAAGCAAAGAGACAUCCGGGAAGACUCCGGGGAUACGGUUAUUAUACUCAAGCCCUGCCAAGAAACAAUUGUAAGAAAAGGAGCUAUUUUGACUGGGUCAAGAGGAAUAAUUAUGCUGCCUAAAAAUACACCGAGUCUGAGGGAAGAAAAUGAGAAGCU